UUUACACUGAGACAGCAGCAGCCUCCCAGCAGACUUGGGAGAGGCUGUCCUGAGAAGAAGUGGAGAAGUGGUAUGAACACAGCCUUUGCAGGGGCUGAGCAGCACGGGCUCAUCUAGGCAGUGAGUGCAGUCCAGAAGAGGCCUUCUCUGCUGUCACUACUGGAUGUUGUAAUAGACUUAACUGGUUUAAGUUUUUGGGGAAGGCUGUGACCCAAUUGUUCUCUGCCUCCACCUAAAAGUAGCAGCAGCGAGCCCAGCCGUCUGGAGAACAUCAGUUUCUGUGCCUCAGUCUGUCACCUUGGCCUCCACCAGCCGACUUGGUGAGGCAAACCUGGCUGCACCCAGCUGCUGCUUUCCAACAAACCAGCAUCCUGAUGGUGAAGGCAAUGCAUAUGCAGGUGGAUGCCCAGCCUGUCUCAAAGGAGGUUUGUCAGCCACCCAGCAAGUGAAACCUGUGGGGGCUUUGGCUGAACCAGCUGAAUUCCCAAAGGCUGCAGAAAUAUGAAUUACCCACUUUGAUGUACCCAGUAUUUUUCAGAAAGCAUUUUAUGUGUUUAUCUGAGGACAUUCGAGUGCUGCUGCUCUCU